AGUGAGGAAUAUUGGGCAAUGGACGCAAGUCUGACCCAGCCAUGUCGCGUGCAGGAUGACAGUCUUAUGGGUUGUAAACUGCUUUUAUACAGGAAGAAACCCCCCGACGUGUCGGGGGCUGACGGUACUGUAUGAAUAAGCAUCGGCUAACUCCGUGCCAGCAGCCGCGGUAAUACGGAGGAUGCAAGCGUUAUCCGGAUUUAUUGGGUUUAAAGGGUGCGUAGGCGGGAGAUUAAGUCAGUGGUGAAAUCCUGCAGCUUAACUGCAGAACUGCCAUUGAUACUGGUUUCCUUGAGUACAGUUGAGGUGGGCGGAAUGUGUAGUGUAGCGGUGAAAUGCUUAGAUAUUACACAGAACACCAAUUGCGUAGGCAGCUCACUAAACUGUUACUGACGCUGAGGCACGAAAGCGUGGGGAGCAAACAGGAUUAGAUACCCUGGUAGUCCACGCUGUAAACGAUGAUCACUCGUUGUUGGCGAUAUACAGUCAGCGACUAAGCGAAAGCAUUAAGUGAUCCACCUGGGGAGUACGAUCGCAAGAUUGAAACUCAAAGGAAUUGACGGGGGCCCGCACAAGCGGAGGAACAUGUGGUUUAAUUCGAUGAUACGCGAGGAACCUUACCUGGGCUUAAAUGCAGUAUGACUUCCGCCGAAAGGUGGAUUCCCUUCGGGGCAAAUUGCAAGGUGCUGCAUGGUUGUCGUCAGCUCGUGCCGUGAGGUGUCGGGUUAAGUCCCAUAACGAGCGCAGCCCCUAUCGUUAGUUGCCAGCGAGUAAUGUCGGGGACUCUAGCGAAACUGCCGGUGUAAACCGUGAGGAAGGUGGGGAUGACGUCAAAUCAGCACGGCCCUUAUGUCCAGGGCUACACACGUGUUACAAUGGCCGGUACAAAGGGUAGCUACCUGGUGACAGGAUGCUAAUCUCUAAAGCUGGUCUCAGUUCGGAUCGAAGUCUGCAAUUCGACUUCGUGAAGGUGGAUUCGCUAGUAAUCGCGCAUCAGCAACGGCGCGGUGAAUACGUUCCCGGGCCUUGUACACACCGCCCGUCAAGCCAUGGAAGCCGGGGGUGCCUGAAGUCCGUAACCGUAAGGAGCGGCCUAGGGUAAAACUGGUGACUGGGGCU
rnacentral:rRNA from 1 species